AGGACGAACGCUGGCGGCGUGCUUAACACAUGCAAGUCACGGGGGUCCCGGGGGCAACUCUGGGAUAACCGGCGAACGGGUGCGUAACACGUGAGCAACCUGCCUUUGUGUGGGGGAUAGCCGGGCUAACGCCCGGGUAAUACCGCAUACGGUCACCGAGAGGAGUCUCUUGGUGAAGAAACCUCCGGGGCACAGAGAGGGGCUCGCGGCCUAUCAGCUUGUUGGCGGGGUAAUGGCCCACCAAGGCGACGACGGGUA
rnacentral:rRNA from 1 species